AUGCUGAGAGAUAUAAACGUUUACCUCAAGCAAGUGCAGCCAGUCAUAGGACCCAGCUCUAUAAAACCAGUCAGCUUCGGAAUCGUUUUCCUUGAAAAUCCUGAUGAACUAGGCAAUGAUAUACCUAUCUACAGAUCGCCCCGAGUCAGCUUUCUAAAGAAGCCGACCUCGCCUCGAUCCGAGAUGUCUAUUAAGGAGUUACCAUCGACCUCGCCUCGAUCCGAGAUUCGUCUCUAUCCGACCAGCCGAACUCAAGCUCAAUUUCCCAGUGAUCUAGAGCGACUCAGAAGACUCAGAAUAUCGUGUCAUGUCAAAAGGGGGGAAUGCCGCCUGACACGCAGAGACACAAUGUCAGCUCGCCCGUCUCACAAAGCUCGUCAUCUCGUCCGUCUCACGAAGCUCGUCAGCUCAUCCUUCUCAAGUAGCUCGCCCUUCUCAAGUAGCUCGUCUUAGCUAUUCAGCUCGCCUUUAAGCUCUUCAAGCUCCUUAGCUCGUACUCAAGUUCAUCAGAUCGUCUCCAAGCUCCUCAGCUCGUCUUCAAGCUCUUCCCAUACUCAACGACCAUCUCCUCGCCUAGCUGUCAGCUAUUCAGCUCGUCCAACUCGUCUAGCUAUCAACUCAUCCCUCGACUGCAAAACUCAUCUACCUCCUCGCCUAGCGGCAGUUCGUCCAUUGGCUGCAUAGUCCACCUAUCUCGUCGCCAGCUAGUCUAAACCUUCAGCAGAACUCGGUUUGUCCAAUUCGCCUCUACCACGGUUCAUCCAGCUCGUCGCACAUCUGCCGGCUCGUCACCUACCAUACGACCUUCCUCCAGUAAUGGCCUAGCUUGUUUAUCACGAUAUGAACUACGUGUGGCUUGAUCCCUUUCUAAGGGUACGUAGGCAACCUUUUACAAGGUUCAGCUAUAAGACGAAUAAACUCUAUUCUUACUCGGACAUCAAGAUCGUCUUCCGGCCUCAAGCUCGUCUUUCAUCUACAAUCGGCUCGUCUUAACAUAUAUCUAAGAAAAA